AGGCAGCAGGUGUGAGGGUGGUGGACGGCAGGGGUGGGCAGGUCCUGGCCGCCACAGGCCUCACCCUGCUGGUCU
ensembl:miRNA